UUAGAGUUUGAUCAUGGCUCAGGAUGAACGCUAGCGGGAGGCUUAACACAUGCAAGUCGAGGGGCAGCAUAAUGUAGCAAUACGUUGAUGGCGACCGGCAGACGGGUGAGUAACGCGUAUGCAACUUACCCUGUACAGAGGGAUAACCCGGAGAAAUUCGGACUAAUACCACAUGAAGAUAUAGAUGGGCAUCCAUUUAUAUUAAAAGCUACGGCGGUACAGGAUGGGCAUGCGUAACAUUAGCUAGUUGGCGGGGUAAAGGCCCACCAAGGCGACGAUGUUUAGGGGACCUGAGAGGGUGAACCCCCACACUGGUACUGAGACACGGACCAGACUCCUACGGGAGGCAGCAGUGAGGAAUAUUGGUCAAUGGGCGGAAGCCUGAACCAGCCAUUCCGCGUGCAGGAAGACGGCCCUAUGGGUUGUAAACUGCUUUUCCGGUGGAAGAAUAACUUCGACUAGUCGGGGGAUGACGGUACACCGGGAAUAAGCAUCGGCUAACUCCGUGCCAGCAGCCGCGGUAAUACGGAGGAUGCGAGCGUUAUCUGGAUUUAUUGGGUUUAAAGGGUGCGCAGGCGGGGCUGUAAGUCAGUGGUGAAAUACUGCAGCUUAACUGUAGAAUUGCCAUUGAUACUGCGGUUCUUGAGUGUGGUCAAGGCAGGCGGAAUGUGUAAUGUAGCGGUGAAAUGCUUAGAGAUUACACAGAACACUGAUUGCGAAGGCAGCUUGCUGGGCCAUUACUGACGCUCAUGCACGAAAGCGUGGGGAUCAAACAGGAUUAGAUACCCUGGUAGUCCACGCUGUAAACGAUGAUCACUAGCUGUUGGCGAUAUACAGUCAGGACAAAGCGAAAGCAUUAAGUGAUCUAUCUGGGGAGUACGGCCGCAAGGUUGAAACUCAAAGGAAUUG
rnacentral:rRNA from 1 species